rnacentral:lncRNA from 1 species
AAGGUGAGCUUAUGCUCAUUACAACAUUUGCAUAUAACAUAUUACUUUAAAGUAAAGAAGAGCUUAAGCCCUUUUACAACAUUUGAUCAAAUCAAAUUACAACCAAAAUCUAAUCUACACAUUCCCAUGGUUCAAACAAAUUUGAAACGCCUUUCACAUAGCUCAAUUAUUUUAGGCUUAGGUUCAUAAUCACCCUUUAAUUAAUUAACACUUUAACUAAUUAAUUGAAUGCAACAUUUUCAUUUGGUUUUUGUAUCCAUAAGAUUGAUUUAAAUGGAGCUAAACAAAAUGAAAAUCCAAUUCUCAUUUAAAGAGACAAAACAAUUUUGUUCUCAUCCUAUUUGGGCCAUCAUGCAAUAACCACAACUUUUUGGGCUUUAUUGCAAUAACAAAAACUUUUGGGGUCACUUUGUAUAAUACACAAAAGUCACAACUUCAUGUAAAUACAACUAGAACCCAAACUUUUAAUAAUGCAAAAACAUCAUUAAAGGAUCAAAACAAUUUGUCCUUUAGCGUUUUUGGACCUAAACGUAAAAACGUAAACUUUUGGACCAAAGUGCAAAUACACAAAAGUAUCAAAACUUUAUGUAAUUGCAUAAAAGCCCCAAAAGUACUCCCUUUGAGGGAGUGGCUGGUUUUGGGGAGGGAUAAGGUUGGUGUGUGUGUUGAUUAGUGAGUUU